GACGAACGCUGGCGGCGUGCUUAACACAUGCAAGUCGAGCGAUGAAGUUCCUUCGGGAAUGGAUUAGCGGCGGACGGGUGAGUAACACGUGGGUAACCUGCCUCAUAGAGGGGAAUAGCCUUCCGAAAGGAAGAUUAAUACCGCAUAAGAUUGUAGUACCGCAUGGUAUAGCAAUUAAAGGAGCAAUCCGCUAUGAGAUGGACCCGCGUCGCAUUAGCUAGUUGGUGAGGUAACGGCUCACCAAGGCGACGAUGCGUAGCCGACCUGAGAGGGUGAUCGGCCACAUUGGGACUGAGACACGACCCAGACUCCUACGGGAGGCAGCAGUGGGGAAUAUUGCACAAUGGGGGAAACCCUGAUGCAGCAACGCCGCGUGAGUGAUGACGGUCUUCGGAUUGUAAAACUCUGUCUUCAGGGACGAUAAUGACGGUACCUGAGGAGGAAGCCACGGCUAACUACGUGCCAGCAGCCGCGGUAA
rnacentral:rRNA from 1 species